rnacentral:rRNA from 1 species
UUGAUCGUGGGUCAGUCGGUCCUAAGCUUACGAUGAAGCAUAUGUUGAAUGUGUAUAAUAAAGUGUAUCACUGUAAGCGAAAGGGAAUCAGGCUAACAUUCCUGAACCUGCACACCGGGAUGCUGCUUCGGCAGCAAAUGUGGUAACACAAGUGUACUCAAAGACACCGAGGGAUAGGCUGGGAAGAGUUUUCUUUUCUUUUUAAGUUGUAUAUUCCCAUGGAAUUGAGUAGAUUUGAGAUAUGGGCAGGCGCAACAUAAAGCUACUCAUUUUAGAGUAGUUCAGUCAAUUCUCUUGGUCCUUGAAAAUUUGAGUACAGUAAUUAUCAUGGUGGCAGUCCGUACUAGUAUCCGCAGCAGGUCUCCGAGGU